CUUCCAGCCGGCAAGGUACUUGUACCUCGUUGACUGGAAGGAAACCCUUCCAGCCGGCGAGGUACAAGUACCUCGCCGGCUGGAAGGAAACCCUCGGUACAAGUGCCUCGCCGGCUGGAAGGAAUCCCUUCCAGUCGACGAGGUACAAGUACCUCGCCGGCUGGAAG
rnacentral:miRNA from 1 species